AGCAGAGCCGCGGUAAAACGAAGGGGGCUAGCGUUGCUCGGAAUCACUGGGCGUAAAGGGUGCGUAGGCGGGUCUUUAAGUCAGGGGUGAAAUCCUGGAGCUCAACUCCAGAACUGCCUUUGAUACUGAAGAUCUUGAGUUCGGGAGAGGUGAGUGGAACUGCGAGUGUAGAGGUGAAAUUCGUAGAUAUUCGCAAGAACACCAGUGGCGAAGGCGGCUCACUGGCCCGAUACUGACGCUGAGGCACGAAAGCGUGGGGAGCAAACAGGAUUAGAUACCCCAGUAGUCCCUGUCUCUUAUACA
rnacentral:rRNA from 1 species